rnacentral:lncRNA from 1 species
GCCUUUUAAGAGGUUUGAUGCAAAAGCCUCUGGAAUCCCUUGUUUUUGGAGUCUGUCUGGAAGUUUGAAUUGGCAUUGGGUUGGAAUCCUCUAAAUAUGAUCCUAUGUAAGCUGAGUAAUGAGGAAGAUGACUUUGCUAUGCUUAGCUGUGGUUCAGUGAUUCUCCCCUGAGAAUCAACUGCUAUAAAAAUCACUGGUUAUUAUGUAAAACAUUGUGACCGAAGCAGUGACAAGGGUUUAUAGAGAAAACUUAGGUAGACUUGCUCAAUGAAAUUAAGAAAAAUAAAAA